CGCCUUGUUAGGUAUUUUCUGUGUGCGAAUAAGAACAAACUUAUAUAUAUAAUAACUGAACUAUAACUAAAUGGUGUAAAAUGGUUAAAACCUUUUGAAACAUUUACAUGAAUUUGACUGUGUAUUGAAGUUGCAAAAGUUGAAAUGGUCAAAUAACACCUUUCCCAUUUGUCAGGUAAAUAAAUACGCACAACAGGAAGCCUUAAGCUUCUCAAAAUAACCACCAGAUCGUUGGACAAAGGUUCAGUCAUUUUGUACACACUAGUGCUUAUCAGUGCGUCAACAAGCAGCCGUGGUACAACAGGAAAGGACCAAGUUUGCAUAUCGGGGAAAACAAAACAUAUAAAAACAAAACACAUAAGCGGGAAGCAGAGAUAGUUGGAGGCGGUGGGGAGAAGACAAAGUGAGUAAGAAAGCAAUCGGGAGAGUUAAAGAGAAAGUAAAAAAUACAGAGAGAGGUGAGCUGGAGAGUGAGUCGGGUGGUUAAUUUUUCCCGCCACCUCAUGAGUGGCAAUGACAUCACAGCUGAUUUUUCUUCUUAGUCUGCUUCUACCGCGCCACCACUUCAGCGCUACGGAGAGGCCGAGCUGCUACUGGCCGUGGUCUUUAGGGCUGAGGAGCUGCUUCUUUAAGUCGUCAAUAACUCAGAGCGAGACUUUUUUUUCGAGCGGAUUAAUCACAGCUCAGAUUUUUUCAGAUCGGUUGCUCUCCAUCAUGAAUAGACUGAAGGGCAGCUGCAGUUGCCGGAUGAACAGAUUUAGUUGUAGCAAAGCCUUUGGCAUUUUCCCCCCGAGGAAACUUUGUUCUCUAGAGAACAGGAAAAUGACACUACAGCCAAGCAAAUAUCACACAUGAAGAAGAGCAUCGCGUCCACCCCGGCCAACCCACAUAUUUACUCAUAUUGUCAAUUUCUCUACAUUUUCUGACUGUGUCCAACGUUCAUGCAAAAGGAAACAGAGGUCUAACAGCAGUGCCAGGUGGUGGAGCAUUUUAUAGGUAGGUCCAUCCAACCAAUUUUUAGAAAACAUCCCAGUGGGAUGCAAUGCAACAAUUAUGGUAUCAAAAACACAAAAAAGCAGCAUAUAACAGUGUGACUUGUGUCACCCUCACAGACAAUUGAGUAUAAUAUAAUAAUACAUAUAUCAUAUGGGCAGGUGCUUCAUGUCCCUCACUCUUGUAACGUGCGGGACCUGUCACCUCCUGCCUGUAUCGGGUGUGUUUGUGUGUGUGUGUGUGUGUGUGAGUGUAGUAGGGACGUGGCUCCAAACUGAGCUCCUCUAGACUCCCUGCACAGGCAACCAAGCUGGCUUCAAUCCACUGAUCAAACUGCAGUAAAUCUACUCCGGUUCUUCAGCCACUUGUUGCCAGUUCAUUGUUUCAACCCACCUGGCGGUGACUGUGCUCGGCUGCUCUGCAGAAGAGCUUUUUCAGAGACAUAGAUUCAUUGUUUUUUGCCUUUCCUCUGACCCUGUCUUUGUGUUCUCGCAGUCAUCCAUCCUCCCGGUUCCCCAGUCUGUCUGCCGUUCCCAGACUCUCGCCAUCGCUGUUUCCUUGGCAAUAAAUAACUUCCGCCUGUCUUCCUGUCUGUCUGCAUUCGGGUCCGCCACCACCUAUUGUCAUAUUGUUAUAUCUUGAAUCAGCAAUUGGCUAAACCGCUUCACAGACCCGCCUCCUGUGGGGCCGUUACUCUGUGGGCAGACAGGUGGAGAGGAUGCGCACGAAAAGCAUUUAUUUUGGGGCAGAUGACUUGUCUUAGUUAAGAUGCUCCAGCUGCUCCAUUUCCCCCUAUUAGCCAGCCUAACAAUCAUGACAGGAGAGGUUUACGCUCUGCUCAGUGUCUGAUUGGCUGCGGAAAUUCAAAUUGUGACCUGUUUUUUUUCUUUUUUUUUUUCUUUUGACUCAAACCGAACCACUUCACUAGAAUAAAAUGCGGAGCAAGCUAAGAGAGUGGUCUGGAUGUGGAUCUGGUCUAUCAUGUGACUAUUGAUUGACAAUGUGAAGCCUGUGUUUAGCUGUUACUGUCCUGCCGGUUUGAACACACAGUGACUGUGCUGCGCUGCUGGCCCUCGAUAUCUAGCGGAGGCGAUCUGGCCUUGAGUGGGCAGAGCAGUGGAAAUAAUCUGUGCGACUGUGAAGGUGUGUAAUUAAGUUACUAUAAAGCACACACAAAGAAAACUUCAAGGCUAAACGACAACUCAGACGAGCUGUGGUAGAAGCGAAGCAAAUAACGAGUGAAUACCAGAUAAUGGAUUGAAAACAGACUUCCAAUAUCUCAAAGUUUAUUUUAUUGCCCCACAGCGUUCACAAAUACUGAAAGAUUCAAACAAACCAGAAGAGACACCCUCCCGCAGCAGAGCUCAUAUGUAUGACGACAACCUCCAGACGCACUCAGACAAGCGAGAUAAAAGUCACACAGACUUUAAUUUCCCAGCAUCUCUUUCAUUGUUUUACAGUUUUCUGAGGGAUGUCGAAUCAAACAAUAGCUUUUUACUACGUGUUUGAACCCGGUGCACCGCGAGCGUGUUUGUGAGAAACUCUAUCGUAAAAAAAGGGAUACGGACGGAAAAAACUAAGAGAGCGAGCAAAGUUUCAACUGAUGUCUUCCAGUUGUGUGACCUCUCUCUCCUUCCCCGUCUUUUUUCUGUCUUUCUGCCUCUCUCGGUUUAAUAGGGCCAGCUGUAGAGUCUGGUACUCUAGGGAAACGCAGUAGAGUGUGGCUGGAGCUGAGGCUGAAUGAGGCUGAAAUUGGGGCUGGUGGUGAUGGUGGUGGGGGGUGCGAGUUGGGGGGGCGAGCACUUCCGACCAUUUUCCCCAUGAAAUGCAGCAUGAAGUCUGGAGCGUUGGCAGGCCGCCGCCGACUCUCUUCCCCUCGUCUUCAUUCCCUCCCGCCUUCGUUUCCUCCUUUUUUCCAUCCUACCUUUCUCCCACGCCCUUUUAUUCCUUUACCUUUUCUUCUUCCUGCUGUCCUUCUUUGCUUUUGGUAGUGACCCCCCCUCCCGACGUCUGCUCAGUGGCACUAUAACAAGUCCAGGAAGUCCUGUCCUUUUUCUAUCACUUUCGAUGGAAGCUAAAAACCGACGGUCCGAGGACUACGGUGAAUAGCUCGGGUCCUUGGAGCCCCUCUCUCCUCUAGACGCCUACGUUGUGGUUCCGUAUCGGGUCCAGGUCUGCUUCCGAGUUUUGACAGGUCCCUGACCCGAGCCAGAGCGGUUCAGCUUGGUUGGGGCUGUGUGUGUGUGUGUGUGUGUGUGUGUGUGUGUGUGUGUGUGUGUGUAAAUGUGCAUGGUCUUUGUCUUCGUGUGUGUGUGUGAGUGAGGUUGGACCUGGCUAAGUUGGUGGGUGUUUUUCAUCAGACUAAUGAAUAAUACGUCUGAGCUGUGAGGAGAGUAUCAAGCGGGAGGAGAAAAGGGGGGCCGGAGGAGGAGGGGGUGUAAUGACUAUCAGAUGGGGCUCUACUACUGUGCUGCUGCUGCUGCGUCCUUAAAGGAGAACACCACUCAACUUAUUAAUUCACAUGUGUGAUUAUUAUUCUCUGGAAGUGCGCAACCGUCGUCAAACAGGGCAGAGGCUGAGAGUGAAACGUGCGAUCGCCACGUGAAGCCUGGUGCAAACGACAGCAGAGUUACUUCAGUCCUGUGGACUGAUUGGCUCUUUGGUCAUAACCUGAGUUGGGAAACGCACUUCAUGAGAAAGCAGCUUUAAUAGAUUUCUACUAACCAGAAGGGAGGAGCUCCAUCCGCAGCUGCAGCUGAGGAGAAGCGGCCAGUGGGUCAGCGGACGCGUGGGGGCGAAGCUCUGCAGAGGAGACUUUCAUCAGUGUUUUUACAGACUACCGGGGUCACGUCAAGGAACGUGCAUGCAACAUGGUUAUGAAUAACACAAUUGUACCCGCGCACAGUUCAUUGAAAAUGAUGAUUCUGUACUGGGCCAGAGACAGGCAGUCAACUGGUUCCACUCGGGGAGAUACAUGGUGAGAACUGGUUCCACUGGUUGAGAGAUGUGAUGAUGACUGGUACCACUGGGAAAGCGAUAUGGUGAGGACUGGUACCAUUGGGAAAGAGACAUGGUGAUAACUGGUACCACUGGGAAAGCGAUAUGGUGAUGACUUGUACCACUGGGAAAGGUACAUGGUGAUGACUGGUACCACUGGGAAAGAGACAUGGUGAUGACUUGUACCACUGGGAAAGCGAUAUGGUGAUGACUGGUACCACUGGGAAAGCGAUAUGGUGAUGACUGGUACCACUGGGAAAGAGACAUGGUGAUGACUGGUACCACUGGGAAAGCGAUAUGGUGAUGACUGGUACCACUGGGAAAGCGAUAUGGUGAUGACUGGUACCACUGGGAAAGCGAUAUGAUGAGGACUGGUACCACUGGGAAAGCGAUAUGAUGAGGACUGGUACCAUUGGGUGAGGGACGUGGUGAGAACUGGUUCCACUGUGAUUUGAGACACAGAGGUAUUAGACUUGGAGCAGAUUGUUGAGGACUUUUCAUGGAGGACGUUGUCCAUACGAAUAAUUUACAACAAACCACUUUGUUGCGGCAACAAUCAAAGUCCGUCCCACAUGCUGUGUGAAAGAUGUGUAGUCUCUACUUUGCUAUAUCAUGUGUGCUAUUGGCUGCAGUGGAGAAUAUAUAGUUAUUCAUAUGUCCAGGGUGUCUGCUUUUUUGAUGUUUUAUUCAACAGUUGAUUUUAAGAGUUCUGUGCCUUGUCUUUCUUGUUAUACACUGUCUCAAUGUUACAUUGUAAAUCACUUUAAUGCCAUUACAAGCUUUAUAUAAGUUUCUCAAAUGACCUGUUACUGACAACAAGCGCUCCAUUGGAGGCAGAUCCGAGAUAAUAAAAUCCAGAGUCUGUGUUCUUGACUUGGGUCAACACUUUAUUUAGUCUUAAUGUAACUAUUAAUGUGCUGAAAUGUAGCUUGUCCUUUUCAUUCAACAUUCUUUGGGCAAAAACAACCAUGUGCGAUCGCAAAAAGAACUAAAGUCCACAAUAUACCCAGUCAAAUGUUCUCUGGCCUGCGGGCAACAAUUGAGAGAGAAUUGGAUACUGUGUUAGAAAAGCCACACGCUCACAGGGAGAUGCAAAUCACAGUAAGAUCAUGCUAAUGCAUGUAAUGACGGACCACAGUGAGUGAGGCUGGUUGGGAAAUACACCUCCGGAGCAGUCUCACACAUACGUUCAGUCAGACCAAACACACGUCUGAUAGUCAUUAAUCAAGACAUUUAGGUUUAGAUUUGCUUGCUGUUUUACUGUUAGUCGAUAUUUUAGGAAGACCCAUACCUGAAUAUUUCUCAUGAUGAAUAUUGUAUAAAGUUUCAUCAUUUCUGGACUGUCUUUAAAUCGAAACAAAAGGCAGACUACACACCACAAGAGGAAGUGCUUGAUAUUUUUUGCUGAAUUUGAAUUAUUUAGUAUUCUGACUUUUAUACCUCGAAGCAGAUUCAAAAGGGAAUCGGAAACAAACCACACGUUGCCAGGAUUUUCUCCCUUUGCAAGAGCGAUGAGCUGUUGGAGUGGACUGCAGUGUUAGCUCUUGAAAGAGUUUGUUUUCAUUGGGUGAUUUGGUUCUUUUUCAAUCAAUUUCUUUUCACGUCCAAAACCAACACAACUCUUAACUAAAAUUGAUACGUGCUGUUGGGUCUCUGACGAAGGUGUCGGAAUCUGAUACAUGCUGAAGGUCACCGCAGAGGAUCCAGGGCGCUAGCUGCGCGUGGGCAGGGCUCUUUCAUGAGUGACAUUAUGUAGUUGCAGUCUGAGUUUCACAUGUUCACAUUUGACAGCCAGGCCAUUUUUCUAAAACAGAUUUGAUAUCCAGUGACAGGAUGUGUCCAAUGAGAACUGGAGGAGAGUGGAAAACUAUAAAGCAAACCAUGAAAUGUAAAACGCUUUCCUCCAUUGUAUUCAAUAUCUGUGAGAGUUUUCCAGCAGUUGUUAUUUGAAGGGAAUUUAUUGAGAAUCUGAAUGUCCUAAACUGCAUGCAGCAACGCAGCACCAGCAAAUUGCCUAGUUUGAUUGCACCUUUGUGAGGGGGGGGAACUGUCUGCCAAAUAGUGGAUUAAGAUGUUGACAGGGCAGGAGUAUCGUGAUGGACUGCUUGGUAAGUUUGUGUCCGUACACAGACAUGCUGAUGAGUACUGUCUCAUGCGGUCGGGGGUAAAGUCAGCGGAUUGUUAGGAUGUCGGUCGAAACAAAGAUCAAGUCUGUCUGCUGGACUGCUCAACCGAUUUUACUGCAUUAUCAAACUGCAUUAUCUGAAACAGAAAAAAAGAGAGAUAAAUUGCAAUAUGUGUCAUCAGAAUGCUCAGGGUCAGUGCAAAUUGUUUAAAAUUGCAACGGCAUUGUAUUAUUACUUAAGUGUCGUGAUAAUAUCGUAUCGCAGGCCCCUGGUGAUUCCCACCACGACUGGCAACCCUUUGCCGUUCUGGUUUUCUUCCUAUACUAACUGAGGAAAUUCAGUGUGUCCCCAUCCUGACUGCUCCAAGCGGGCGGCUCUGGCCUUUCUCCCUUCUGUGAAAAGCACAGCAUAAACACACCAUGACUGUGAUUGAUGGGUAGAUAUAGAUACAAAGAGGAAACGAGGAGAAAGAAAUAUGGACAGAGAGUCUGAUGAAUGCUGUCUGUAACAUUGUGUAACUGUGACAGAUUAUUCUUCGUCCUAUUCAUUUUUAGCAGCGGUUUACGGUUGCCAAUCUACACAAAGGAGGCAUACCAGCAGUGGCAGUUGGGUUUAGAGUUUCACUGAUGCACUACGGAGGAUUAUGGGUUUCAUAGUUGAUUUUUUUCAUAGGUUGUCAACCUUUAACCACUGCACAGUUGAAGCGGGAAACACAAUUCAAAGUUCAGAACGUUUCUUGGAUCUAAGAGUUAAGUUACACAAUUGUGUCUAAUAAAACCCUUUUUUACUUAGGAGGGAAAAUCUGAUUAGAGUCUAAUGAGAGCUGUAAAAAGGAUUUGGUAAAAUCCAAAGGGAGCACGUGAUCUUCUAUCAUUCAUGUGUAGCUGGAUAGAUGGAUCUCUGACAUGUUAUUCUGUUUUCUCCGUUCCUCCCUCUGUCUCUGCUCCCUUUGCUGCCGGGUCUCAUAUUUUCUUCUCUUUCAGAGGAAGACAGAUUGUAAAAAAGAGUGUAUGUGAGUAAAGUAGCGGCUCCCCGACUAUAAACCCCCGAGCCUCCCCUUCAUCACCAAAACAACUCCACCCAAAAGUCUGAAUCCCUUGAGGGCGAAUGACAUUCAGACCCUCCAGCGGCCCAGCUCGCACAGAGAAAAGGCUUCGGCUGUGGCUGCAUAAACCGCGAGCCCAGCCUGAAGCGUGCGGUGUUGCGGCUCGCUGCGACCCCCCCCCUCCUUCCCCCAGCCUUCCAGCCUUCCAGUCCAGGGACAAACACGACACCGACCGCGAGGAGGCCGGGGGAGGAAGACGCGGGGAGAAAGGCAAACUCUUACUUCACCACUCAAGCUUCUCGGCUUCUUGCUGUCCAGAAAGCAGUUAAUCAAAAACAUCCGAUCCCAGCGAGUCCUACCUCCUGCAGGGCGCCUGCUCAGGCAAACAAGCUACCCACAGAAUACAAAACAAAUCUCAACGAGAGUCAGUGAAUAAAGAUUUUGGGAAAAUGCUUCAAAAUUACAGACAUACUUUGUGGAUAAACAAGAUAAGAGGAUGGGUUGGAUCAACUUUAACUGGGUAAAGGACAUGACCCUGUUGUCCUGUUGCAGCUCGCUAAUCAAAAAUGGUUUGCAAGCGACCUCUUGUGAUCUCAACUGCUCGGGAGCUGCUAUAAAGAGCUGCAGAAAAUUGAGAGACCUGACUUAGAAAACAGUGAUCGGAAUUGCACGAUGCAAAUGGAGACUUUGUCGUCACUAUGUGUCCAUGCAGAUACAGAAACAAGUCUAGAAAAUAACUAGAAAAUACAAAGAAAAGUCACCAACAGGAGGCAGACUCUUUUUUCUCUUCAGAACGAAUCCAGAAAUCUAAAAUCAACAACUCUGAACAGGUAGCAUUCGCACAAAGAGAAAACUAACCAAGUUAGAAUCAGUGUUGUCUCAGACAGAUCAUGCCAUUUUUUUCAGAUUCAAAAGCAUUGUAUGUGUGUGUUUGUUGCUUCCGAGGACACCCACUAAACAAAACGUGUAUUCAACCCUCUUAUUGAAAGCAAUAUGUGUGUCAGAAGCCCGCGUGGUCACAAAGGUCACCGAACACACUUAGCAGGCGGGGGUCACGCAAAGCUGCUCCGGGGUGAAUUUCCCCAGAAACCAAAUCAGCGUGCAGCCAAAACAAACUCCGGCUGAUGGUUCGCCUCCUGCCUCCGGUCUCCCUGGCCUGCUUCUAGACAGCAGCCGAGGGACCCUCGGCUGCUCAGAGGGAGGAGCGGAGAGGAGACCCGCGGCCCUCCCACCGGCUAUAAGACCAGAGGCAGACGGAAACAUUCAGACAGCAGGCACACGUGGAGCAAAGAGCCCGAGAGA
ensembl:lncRNA